GAAGAUAACAGAAGACAUGGCUGGAGACCAAGUGUUAAAGAGAAAACAAGAGUAACUGAAUAUGAACCAUGAGAAAGGAUAAGGCAGUGAGGAUGAUUUGAGAUUUGGGUCUGAGAAGCUGAAGCAAUUAGGAAGAGGAGCUGCUUGAGAGACCCAGAGCUGAAUUUCUUGACUUUUGAGACAUGUUAGUGGAAAUCCUGUCAAAGAGGUAACAGAGGCUACUGAAGAAAUUCAGGUCACCGAGACAAAAAGUAGAAAGAGAGUAUCAGGAAUGUUCCCACUCAAGGCCAAAUGGAGAAUGAAAGCAAUUACGAAAAUGGAAGGAUAUUUCCAGGACUGAAGAACGUCAACUAGCAGCUGUGGUUAAACAGUAUAGGAAGCAUAUAUACAGAUUUGUAUGGCAUUUUUCAGUACAUGGAGGGAUGAAUAUGUCUUGACUGACAUUAGAAUUGACUCCACCUAAAUAUUCAAUAAUAAUAGUUGCCAUCAAAAUAAACAGUUAAACCGGAUAUAGCAUUUUGUGGCAAAACUUGUGGCAAAACAUUUCACCUACCGUAUGUGACAACCAAUAAAUAACCUCUCCAUGAUGUUUAAAAAAGUGUCCCCAAAUGUGACACAAUAUAUAUGUUGGGUACUAGCAGCUGAGCCCUCCCCAUUCCCAGCUAUCAGCCCCACCUUUAAUUCAGAGCAGCACAGCUUCCCUUACCCGCUGCUUAAGUGACUGUUAAUGGACCUGAGCAGCUGCUCAAGGUCUAAUGAUCUGCAUCAGGGGCAAGUACCAGGGCAGUCUUAUUCCUGCCUUCACUCAUCACGGGAGUGGCAGGCAGGACAAAGCUCUGCUGCCCCCGGCUGUAACACUGGAGAGUAGCACAGGAAAACCGGUUAGACCUAGAAGCACCUGAUAGGGCGAAACUUGACUUUUUUAUACAGAAAAACUCAUGCUAGCCAAUACACUAUUUUGAAGAACGUGUUUUAAUACAUAGAGAAAAGAACACCUAUUCACUGAAUCUGUUUUCACUUUUUGGUGUGAAAUAACCACUGCAAAGUACAGAAGCUGUGGUCAGCUGAGAGACCCUAGCACCCAGAAUAAGGCAUGCGAAUGAGCCAUUUUAGAAGCUGACCCUCUAACCAUGUUCAAGCUUUCAAAUGACUGCAACCACUGCUGACAUGCUAAAUGCAACCACAUGAGAAACCCUGAGGCAGAAAAACCCAGGCUAGAGUACAAAUGUGAAUAACAUCACAUGCCAAUCAUUCAGGAGUUAUUCAAUAUGCACUGAUGACCCCAAGAGCAGUGAAAAUAACCGUGACAGAAGCUUCCUGAUGACUGGGUACAAGGACAAUUUUUCUCUUAGUAUCCAGACUCCAGUCCUCAAGUCUGCAAAACCAUGAGAACAAUAACACUUUACCAUCAGAACAAUAACACUUCUUUACCAUCAGAGACAUUCUCCAUUGUACACAGAGUACAGAUCAAUUCCAGUAUUCUUAAAUGGGUGAAAUCGGAUUAAAAUGGCCAGCAUGAAGAGGCAUCAGAAUGGGGAAGAUGCAGUCUUGCUGUCACCCAGGCUGGAGUGCAGCGGCACAAUCUCCAGUCACUACAACUUCCGCCUCCCGGGUUCAAGCGAUUCUCCUGCCUCAGCUUCCUGAAUAGUUGGGAUUACAGUGAAGCCUAAAGAGUCAUCCUCCAACCUUGACAACCCUUCACCAUUAUAAUGGAACAAGUCCCAGAUGAGAACAACAGCCAUCUCAGGCAGUCACAACUUUCUGCAGUAGAAAUUCAAUGAGAGCCUCUGAUGGAUACAAAACACUGUGUUGGGAGCUGCGGUGACAAGAUCGAACGGACACAGAUGACCCUUUCAAAAAAUAAAAAGAGCUCAAGAGUCAUAACAAAAGAUGUGAACAAACAUCACCAAUGAGAGGUACAAGGUGAUCAGAGGCAUGAUGGUCUAAGUUUUCAGGAAAAGGAGCAGCUACUUCCAGUUGGUAGAGCAUUAAGGAAAUGCUGCAAAAGGAAUUGAACUUCAAAUUGUACCUUGGAGAUGGGGAUUGAGUAUGGACAGAAGAAGAUGAAAUGAGGACUGUUGUUGAGCUGAGAGCUAAUAAAUCAGCUUUCUAUUUCAUUUGUUCAUUCAUCCAUUUUACAAAUAUUAAUCAAAAUCUUCUAUGUGCCACAUUAUACUAUGCUCUAAAUAUGAUGUUGUGAAAAAAAGACACAGCCUGUAACUUAAUGGUGCUUAAAAGUCUAAUAUCAUCUAUCCACCUGCUUUUUCUUAGGCCUUAUUGGAAAAUUCAGGAAAUAUACAAUUUUGGAACUCAUCAGAACAUAGACUGAAUAGUCCAGGACAGACCAUAUGGCUUGCUAAUUGGUUACAUAUAAGUCAUCACCAUAGGUUUGAGAUCAAGUUUUAUACUUAUAUUUGGAAAUAUUGGGAACAAAAGAUAAAAAAUUGAAAGUUUCAUUUGUUUGCUUACAUUCCAAGCAUAACAAGCUAUUAAUAGAACUUUUAUUAGAACCCGCUAGACUCUGUGUUAAUGACUUUUUAAAAAGUGAGCCAACAAUAUCCUUGAUGAACAUUAAUGCAAAAAUCCUCAACAAAAUACUUGCAAACCAAAUCCAGCAGGAUAUCAAAAAGUGAAUCCACCAUGAUCAAGUAGGCUUUAUCCUUGGAAUACAAGGUUGGUUCAACAUCUGCAAAUCAGUUAAUAUGAUUCAUUACAUAAGCAGAACUAAAAUGAAAACCACAUGAUUAUCUCAAUAGACACAGAUAGACCUUUUGAUAAAAUUCAAUAA
ensembl:lncRNA novel transcript